CUCGAAUCCUGCUUCCUUCAC
rnacentral:miRNA from 1 species